GACGAACGCUGGCGGCGUGCUUAACACAUGCAAGUCGAACGGUGAAGCCUCUUCGGGGGUGGAUCAGUGGCGAACGGGUGAGUAACACGUGGGCAAUCUGCCCUGCACUUCGGGACAAGCCCUGGAAACGGGGUCUAAUACCGGAUAGGACCUGGGGGCGCAUGCUUCUGGGUGGAAAGCUUUGGCGGUGCAGGAUGGGCCCGCGGCCUAUCAGCUUGUUGGUGGGGUGAUGGCCUACCAAGGCGACGACGGGUAGCCGGCCUGAGAGGGUGACCGGCCACACUGGGACUGAGACACGGCCCAGACUCCUACGGGAGGCAGCAGUGGGGAAUAUUGCACAAUGGGCGCAAGCCUGAUGCAGCGACGCCGCGUGGGGGAUGACGGCCUUCGGGUUGUAAACCUCUUUCAGCAGGGAAGAAGCUUUCGGGUGACGGUACCUGCAGAAGAAGCACCGGCUAACUACGUGCCAGCCGCCGCAGUAACAC
rnacentral:rRNA from 1 species